rnacentral:rRNA from 1 species
GUGUCAGGUGGGCAGUUUGACUGGGGCGGUCGCCUCCUAAAAUGUAACGGAGGCGCCCAAAGGUUCCCUCAGAAUGGUUGGAAAUCAUUCGCAGAGUGUAAAGGCACAAGGGAGCUUGACUGCGAGACCUACAAGUCGAGCAGGGACGAAAGUCGGGCUUAGUGAUCCGGUGGUUCCGCAUGGAAGGGCCAUCGCUCAACGGAUAAAAGCUACCCCGGGGAUAACAGGCUUAUCUCCCCCAAGAGUCCACAUCGACGGGGAGGUUUGGCACCUCGAUGUCGGCUCAUCGCAUCCUGGGGCUGUAGUCGGUCCCAAGGGUUGGGCUGUUCGCCCAUUAAAGCGGUACGCGAGCUGGGUUCAGAACGUCGUGAGACAGUUCGGUCCCUAUCCGUCGCGGGCGCAGGAAAUUUGAGAGGAGCUGUCCUUAGUACGAGAGGACCGGGAUGGACGCACCGCUGGUGUACCAGUUGUUCUGCCAAGGGCAUCGCUGGGUAGCUAUGUGCGGACGGGAUAAGUGCUGAAAGCAUCUAAGCAUGAAGCCCCCCUCAAGAUGAGAUUUCCCAUUCCGCAAGGAAGUAAGAUCCCUGAAAGAUGAUCAGGUUGAUAGGUCUGAGGUGGAAGCGUGGUGACACGUGGAGCUGACAGAUACUAAUAGAUCGAGGACUUAACCUAU